rnacentral:rRNA from 1 species
UGAGCUUGAUCCUGGCUCAGGACGAACGCUGGCGGCGUGCCUAAUACAUGCAAGUCGAGCGCAGGAAGCCGGCGGAUCCCUUCGGGGUGAAGCCGGUGGAAUGAGCGGCGGACGGGUGAGUAACACGUGGGCAACCUACCUUGUAGACUGGGAUAACUCCGGGAAACCGGGGCUAAUACCGGAUGAUCAUUUGGAUCGCAUGAUCCGAAUGUAAAAGUGGGGAUUUAUCCUCACACUGCAAGAUGGGCCCGCGGCGCAUUAGCUAGUUGGUAAGGUAAUGGCUUACCAAGGCGACGAUGCGUAGCCGACCUGAGAGGGUGAUCGGCCACACUGGAACUGAGACACGGUCCAGACUCCUACGGGAGGCAGCAGUAGGGAAUCAUCCGCAAUGGGCGAAAGCCUGACGGUGCAACGCCGCGUGAACGAUGAAGGUUUUCGGAUCGUAAAGUUCUGUUAUGAGGGAAGAACAAGUGCCGUUCGAAUAGGUCGGCACCUUGACGGUACCUCACAAAGCCCG